GAUGAACGCUGGCGGCGUGCCUAAUACAUGCAAGUCGAGCGAACAGACGAGGAGCUUGCUCCUCUGACGUUAGCGGCGGACGGGUGAGUAACACGUGGAUAACCUACCUAUAAGACUGGGAUAACUUCGGGAAACCGGAGCUAAUACCGGAUAAUAUAUUGAACCGCAUGGUUCAAUAGUGAAAGACGGUUUUGCUGUCACUUAUAGAUGGAUCCGCGCGGCAUUAGCUGGUUGUUACGGUAACGGCUUACCAAGGCAAGGAUGCGUAGCCGACCUGAGAGGGUGAUAGGCCACACUGGAGCUGAGACACGGUCCAGACUCCUACGGGAGGCAGCAGUAGGGAAUCUUACGCAAUGGGCGAAAGCAUGACGGAGCAACGCCGCGUGAGUGAUGAAGGUCUUCGGAUCGUAAAACUCUGUUAUUAGGGAAGAACAAAUGUGUAAGUAACUAUGCACGUCUUGACGGUACCUAAUCAGAAAGCCACGGCUAACUACGUG
rnacentral:rRNA from 1 species